UACAGAGGUCUCAAGCGUUGUUCGGAUUCAUUGGGCGUAAAGGGUGCGUAGGCGGCGCGGUAAGUCGGGUGUGAAAUCUUGGAGCUUAACUCCGAAACUGCAUUCGAUACUGCCGUGCUUGAGGACUGGAGAGGAGACUGGAAUUUACGGUGUAGCGGUGAAAUGCGUAGAUAUCGUAAGGAAGACCGGUGGCGAAGGCGGGUCUCUGGACAGUUCCUGACGCUGAGGCACGAAGGUCAGGGGAGCAAACGGG
rnacentral:rRNA from 1 species